UCGGGAUAGCUCAGCUGGUAGAGCAGAGGACUGAAAAUCCUCGUGUCACCANGUUCAAU
rnacentral:tRNA from 1 species